rnacentral:rRNA from 1 species
UGCAUCGAUUGGAAGAACGUAGCGAAAUGCGAUACGUAGUGUGAAUUGCAGAAUUCCGCGAAUCAUCGAGUCUUUGAACGCAAGUUGCGCCCGAGGCUUGUCCGAGGGCAUUUCCGCUAGAGCGUCACCGCGCCCCCCACCGAUCCGCUCCCGCCGCGAGGCGCCAGUCGGUUCGAGUGGAAGUGGCCGUCCCGGUCGCGAUCUUCGCGAGUGAGGGUCGGCUGAAAUGGAUGGAAUCGGGCCGCCGUGGCGACACAGUCCGCGAUCGGGUGAUUUUUCGCGAGCCUCCCCAGGGAGGGUCGCCGUGAAUUUUUCUAAGUGCGUGGCUGCGUCCCCCAGUUGGUUUCGGUUCCCUCGUGCAGGUCGUGCGCGCCCCCGCGGCGCGCGUCACGCAUCAGACCUCUAAUCGGAAAA